rnacentral:rRNA from 1 species
AGAGUUUGAUCCUGGCUCAGAUUGAACGCUGGCGGAAUGCUUUACACAUGCAAGUCGAGCGGCAGCGCGGGGGCAACCCUGGCGGCGAGCGGCGAACGGGUGAGUAACAUAUCGGAACGUACCCCGUCGUGGGGGGAUAACACAGCGAAAGCUGUGCUAAUACCGCAUACGACCUGAGGGUGAAAGCGGGGGAUCGCAAGACCUCGCGCGAUGGGAGCGGCCGAUAUCGGAUUAGCUUGUUGGUGAGGUAAAGGCUCACCAAGGCGACGAUCCGUAGCUGGUCUGAGAGGACGACCAGCCACACUGGAACUGAGACACGGUCCAGACUCCUACGGGAGGCAGCAGUGGGGAAUUUGGACAAUGGGCGAAAGCCUGAUCCAGCCAUGCCGCGUGAGUGAAGAAGGCCUUCGGGUUGUAAAGCUCUUUCGGUGGGGAAGAAAUUGCAUAGGCUAAUACCCUAUGUAGAUGACGGUACCUGGAGAAGAAGCACCGGCUAACUACGUG